UUUUAAAUGUGAAUCGUGGCUGUAAAAUUUAAAUCUUUCUGAUACGCACUUUGUGUGAUUUUUCUAACGGACACAUGCUUGAUGAGGCUUUUUGAAUUGCAAACUUCUGUUUCUUUGGGAACUUUGGCAACUGGUGUUUAUAGAUUCAAACAAGCUGAGAUAAUAUAUCGAAAUCACUGGGUUGUUCAGAAAGUGUUACUUCCAAGUUCCAAGUACACCUUGAUGCAUAAUCCAAGAAUACUUCAUUUCCUUCAGGAUUUUUAAGCAGCUACUGUUGUUGCUUGUAUUGAGCUUUAGAUUUUGUGAGUUGUAAGAUGCUUGGAUAUGAAGCUGAAAAAAACUUCCAUACUUUGCUUAGAAAGAACUUGUGCCGUUUUGCUGCAACAAGAGAGGUCAUGGUAGAGGGAAAAGAGUAAACCGAGGCCAUCCUUUUAUGGAGCAAAGAAAAUUAGGCUUGUAGUUCUUUGUAUAUUGUUGUAGAACUUUUUGUAUCAAAUUAGAAUGCUCUUGUAACUUGGGAGUUUGAUGUAAUCUUGAAUCCAAAGACUACGCUUGCAUCAAUUUGAAAUUC